AGAAUCAACGCUGGCGGCGUGCCUAACACAUGCAAGUCGAACGAGAAAGUGGAGCAAUCCAUGAGUAAAGUGGCGACCGGGUGAGUAACACGUGACUAACCUACCUUCGAGUGGGGGAUAACAUCGGGAAACCGAUGCUAAUACCGCAUAACAUCGCAAGAUCAAAGCAGCAAUGCGCUUGAAGAGGGGGUCGCGGCUGAUUAGCUAGUUGGCGGGGUAAUGGCCCACCAAGGCGAAGAUCGGUAUCCGGCCUGAGAGGGCGCACGGACACACUGGAACUGAAACACGGUCCAGACUCCUACGGGAGGCAGCAGUGGGGAAUUUUGCGCAAUGGGGGAAACCCUGACGCAGCAACGCCGCGUGGAGGAUGAAGCCCCUUGGGGCGUAAACUCCUUUCGACCAAGACGAUAAUGACGGUACUGGUGGAAGAAGCACCGGCUAACUCUGUGCCAGCAGCCGC
rnacentral:rRNA from 1 species